rnacentral:rRNA from 1 species
UCCUACGGGAGGCAGCAGUAGGGAAUCUUCCGCAAUGGACGAAAGUCUGACGGAGCAACGCCGCGUGAGUGAUGAAGGUUUUCGGAUCGUAAAACUCUGUUGUUAGGGAAGAACAAGUUGGGUAGUAACUGACCCAACCUUGACGGUACCUAACCAGAAAGCCACGGCUAACUACGUGCCAGCAGCCGCGGUAAUACGUAGGUGGCAAGCGUUAUCCGGAAUUAUUGGGCGUAAAGCGCGCGCAGGUGGUUUCUUAAGUCUGAUGUGAAAGCCCACAGCUCAACCGUGGAGGGUCAUUGGAAACUGGGAGACUUGAGUGCAGAAGAGGAAAGUGGAAUUCCAUGUGUAGCGGUGAAAUGCGUAGAGAUAUGGAGGAACACCAGUGGCGAAGGCGACUUUCUGGUCUGUAACUGACACUGAGGCGCGAACGCGUGGGGAGCAAACAGGAUUAGAUACCCUGGUAGUCCACGCCGUAAACGAUGAGUGCUAAGUGUUAGAGGGUUUCCGCCCUUUAGUGCUGAAGUUAACGCAUUAAGCACUCCGCCUGGGGAGUACGGCCGCAAGGCUGAAACUCAAAGGAAUUGACGGA